CUCGUCCCCAUGGUGGAGGAAGAGGUGGAAGCUCUGGCACACGUCCGCGUCAUCGUCCUCCUUGCAUUCCUGAAGAGGCUCGAGAUGGACAAAUUAAAGGCCCUAAAAAAGGGCGGGUGCUGCCGCCGAUGGUUGUGAUGCUAAGCGGAUCCCCUCUCUUGUGGCCUGCCAUAUGGAGCUGGCGGUCAAUGUCUCGUUUUUUGUAUAUCUUUUUUUUUUUGCUUGAUGUGUUCAUGUGUUGUGUGUACAAAAACUUCAGGUUCUUUGUUUUUGACAUUCUGGUGGUAAUGCAGAUGGGCUCGUAAACCAACAUUUUCAAAGUCGAAGUUGAGAUCCUGGUUCUUUGUUGUUGGAAUUCUGGUGGUGAUGCAGACAGGCUGGUAAACCAAUCAGGGCAAAAAUAAUCAGGGCCGUUAGGGUUUGUUUACUUUGCAAAAUAAUCAGGGCAACCUAGGAGGCGUCUCCUUCAGAGCCGUUAGAGGGUGUGUUCGUUAGUUCGAGAAGGUAGCAGCCUUGGCAGAGAUUCUGCGCUUCUCCACCAAGAAAGCUGAACAUGAUGCUGCUCAACUCAUCUUGUGAUGCAUGCUUAUCUUAUUGAAUUUGUGUUAAAUAAGCUUGUGAGUGGAUGAUUUCUUUGGUUAGCAUUAGUAUGUUUUUGGUCUUGCUCA